GCUGGGUGUGGUGGCACAUGCCUGUAACCUCAGCAGCUUGGGAGGCUGAGACAGGAGAAUCCCGAGUUAAAAGCCACCCUCAGCAAUAGUGAGGCACUAAGAAACUCAGUGAGACCCUGUCUCUA
rnacentral:sRNA from 1 species